rnacentral:rRNA from 1 species
UACGAACUGUGCAAACGUUACUCGGAUUGACUGGGCGUAAAGGGCGCGUAGGCGGUUCGUACAGUCAGACGUGAAAUCCCUCGGCUCAACCGGGGAACUGCGUCCGAUACUGGUUGGCUUGAAUCCGGAAGAGGCGAGUGGAAUUCCCGGUGUAGCGGUGAAAUGCGCAGAUAUCGGGAGGAACACCAAUGGCGAAGGCAGCUCGCUGGGACGGUACUGACGCUGAGGCGCGAAAGCGUGGGGAGCAAACAGG